rnacentral:rRNA from 1 species
AGUGAACGCUGGCGGCAGGCCUAAUACAUGCAAGUCGAACGGCAGCACAGUGGAGCUUGCUCCAUGGGUGGCGAGUGGCGGACGGGUGAGGAAUACAUGGGAAUCUGCCCAGUCGUGGGGGAUAACGUAGGGAAACUUACGCUAAUACCGCAUGCGCCCUUCGGGGGAAAGCCGGGGACCGUAAGGCCUGGCGCGAUUGGAUGAGCCCAUGUCGGAUUAGCUAGUUGGCGGGGUAACGGCCCACCAAGGCGACGAUCCGUAGCUGGUCUGAGAGGAUGAUCAGCCACACUGGAACUGAGACACGGUCCAGACUCCUACGGGAGGCAGCAGUAGGGAAUAUUGGACAAUGGGCGCAAGCCUGAUCCAGCCAUGCCGCGUGAGUGAAGAAGGCCCUCGGGUUGUAAAGCUCUUUUGUCCGGAAAGAAAAGCACUGGGUUAAUACCCCGGUGUCCUGACGGUACCGGAAGAAUAAGCACCGGCUAACUUCGUGCCAGCAGCCGCGGUAAA